AGACAAUGAGGCGGGGUCUUCCGGAUGCCUUGCUGGAAGUUUGUUUUUGCUCUACAGGAUUGAACCGUCUCUGUGUCUUGCUUUGAGCGCUGCUGUUGGGUGCUGUGAGUGGACCUCAAGUAAGCUCCGUUUUUGAAACAUGGAUGCAGUGACUUAUGAUGAUGUGCGUGUGAACUUCACUGGGGAAGAGUGGGAUUUGCUGGAUCCUUCCCAGAAAAGUCUCUAUGAAGAGGUGAUGCAGGAGACCUACCAGAACAUCACUGCUAUAGGCUACAAGUGGGAAGACCAUCAUAUUGAAGAACAUUGUCAAAGUUCUAGAAGACAUGAAAGGCAUGAAAAAAUUCAUAUUGGAGAGAAACCGUAUGAACGUAACCAAUGUGGUAAAGCCUUUGGAAGUGACAAUCAUCUCCAAGUACAUAAAAGAACAAAUACUGGAGAGAAACCUUAUGAAUGUAAUCAAUGUGGUAAAGCCUUUUCACAACAGAGUAGUCUCCAGUAUCAUAAAAGAACACAUGCUGGACAGAAACCUUAUGAAUGUAAUCAGUGCGGUAAAGCCUUGUCAUGUCAAAGAAGUCUCCAAUAUCAUAAAAGAACACAUACUGGAGAGAAAACUUGUGAAUGUAAUCAGUGUGGUAAAGCUUUUGUAAGACCCAGUCAACUCCAAAAACAUAAAGGAACACAUACUGGGGAGAAACCCUAUGAAUGUAAUCAGUGUGGUAAAGCCUUUGCACAUCACAAUAAUCUCCAAUAUCAUAAAAGAACACAUACUGGAGAGAAACCUUAUGAAUGCGAUCAAUGUGGAAAAGCCUUUGCAGUUCAGUAUAGUCUCCAAUAUCAUAAAAGAAGACAUACUGGAGAGAAACCUUAUGAAUGUAAUGAAUGUGGUGAAACCUUUGCAUUUCAGUAUAGUCUUCAAUACCAUAAAAGUACACAUACUGGAGAGAAACCUUAUGAAUGUAAUCAAUGUGGUAAAGCAUUUCCACAUCACAAUAAUCUCCAAAACCAUAAAAGAAUACAUAGUGGAGAGAAACCUUAUGAAUGUAAUCAAUGUGGUAAAGCUUUUGCAAGAACCGGUCAACUCCAAACCCAUAAAAGAACACAUACUGGAGAGAAACCUCAUGAGUGUGAUCAAUGUGGUAAAGCCUUUGCACUUCAGUAUAAUCUCCAAAAACAUAAAAGAAUACAUACUGGAGAGAAACCUUAUCAGUGUACUCAAUGUGAUAAAGCAUUUUCACAACACAGUAGUCUUCAAUAUCAUAAAAGAACACAUACUGGAGAGAAACCUUAUGAGUGUGAUCAAUGUCGUAAAGCCUUUGCAUGGCAAUAUAGUCUCUAUAUACAUAAAAGAAUACAUACUGGAGAGAAACCUUAUGAGUGUAAUCAAUGUGGUAAAGCCUUUGCACAUCACACUAGUCUCCAAUAUCAUAAAAGAACACAUACUGGAGAGAAACCUUAUCAGUGUGAUCAGUGUGGUAAAGCAUUUGCUCAUCAAAAUAAUCUCCAAUAUCAUAAACGAACACAUACUGGAGAAAAUCCUUAUGAAUGCAAUCAAUGUGGUAAAGCCUUUGCAAGUCACACUCAUCUCCAAGUACAUGAAAGAACACAUUUUAGAAAAAAACCUUAGAAUGCAAUCAAUGUUGUAAAGACUUUGGAUAUAAGACUAAUCUCCAAAGACAUAAAGGAACAUAUACUGGACAGAAACCUCAUGGAUGUAAUCAAUGUGGUAAAGCAUUUGCAACUCACAGUCAUCUACAACGACAUAAAAGAACACAGAGGAGAGAAACUGGUUAUUGUUUACAUACUGACAUAAGAAGAUACAAGUAUGUAUCAAAUUGACAAUGGAUGGAUUGUGAUUGCUACUCUUGGUUUUCAAUAUAAGAUCUAAAGUGAAAGCAUAGGUCCAGGCAUGGUGGUACAUGCCCUUGAACCCUAGGAGAUGAGCAUCAAGCAGAUCUCUGAGUUCAAGUCCAUCCUGAUACAGAACAAGUUUCAGGUGAAGAAAAGCUAAGGUCUAGGCCUGUGGAUACAGAGCCUUGCAGAUCUCUGAGUUCAAGGUCAAUAUAUAGAGCAAGUUCCAGGACAGCCAAGCUGAGGAAGUAAAGGAUUUGGAGAACUGAAAACUGGUGAUAAUGUAAUAGAAGAGGCCAGGUCCCAGGCCCACAAAGCAGCAGAACUCAGCAGCUUUGUCCAUGUGGCUCUGACUUUAGAGGUAAGAAUAGAAGGGACUACUGGGAAAAUGGAAGCUUGUUAGCUGUAGCUGAGAAAUUAGAAGUGAUGAUGAAGACACCAACAUCAUUGAGAUGAAAGCUUCUAGGAAAUGAUUUCUGAGAGGACAAAGAAACUGUGUUCCAGAGAUAGACAGGAUUGUACCUUGUGUUGCAGCUGAACAUGGUUUCAUGUAAGAAUCACCCAGGUGGUACUGGUUUUGAAGGCAUGACGGUGUCAUGAGGAGCAGCUGAGGCUUGGACCAAUGAAGGGAGCAUAAGUGAGGCUAUCACUGAAGCCUAGUUGCAGGAGAAGAACCCAACAUAUUGAAGAUGCCAGUCCAAUGGGAUGAGCAGAAAGAACAGCCCAGUAGAGCGGAGUCAACCAGAGCUUAGAGUGAUACAGACAGCAGAGCUGAAGAAGUGACCUUAUCUCUUUGGAGGAUAGCAGAAGAUCAUGUGUGGAUCCAAGACAUUGGAACAAGAAACUGUAACACUGAGGUUACCUUGGAGACCCCAAGAUCUUGGAAAUGCCAGAGCUCUGGGGUACCUGCUCAGGAAAACCAGCCAAAGAGAAAGAAUUGUGCUGCAGUGAACUAAGCAGAAAGGAGUUGGAGAUCUGAAGAAUGCUUUAACAUCACUCAUGGAGAUGCAGUUUGGAGAUUUCCAAGCUGGCUUUUGGUUUUUGUUUUGGUCCAUUAUUUCCUCGUGAGGACAUUUAGGAAUGGUGAAAUCUAUGUUGUGAAGUUGGAAGUAUAUGAUCUGCUUUUAGAUUUUUCUUUUUUAGGGGAUUACAGUUACAUUGAAUGAAUCUCAGAAGAGACUUUGACCUUUGGACUUUUAACAUUUUUGAGACUGGUGUAGAUGAUGGGGACUUUUGAAGUUGGACCUCAUGUAUUUUUCAUUAUGCAUGUUUAAAUAUGGUCCUCAUACGUUCUUGUACUCCAACAUGGUUAUGGGGGCCAGUGAGUGGAAUAUGGGAGUUUGAAUAUACUUGUCACAGGGAGUGGCUCUAUUAAGAGGUGUGACCUUGUUGGAGGAAGUGGAUAUCUCUGGGGAUGGACUUUGAAGCUCCACCUAGUACAAAACAGACCCUCCUAUUCCCUCCCUGGAAGACAGUUUCUUCCUGGCUGCCUUUGGAUCAAAGUGCAGAACUCUCAGCUCCUUCUCCAGCAUCAUGUCUGCCUGCAUGCUGCUGUGCUUCCUGCUAUGAUGAAAAUGGACUAAACCUCUGAAACUGUAAGCCAGCCCCAAUUAAAGGUUUGCUUUAAUGAGA
rnacentral:lncRNA from 1 species